AAUCCAUGAUGGGGGCAUAAUCUUAGCAUUCCUUUGAAUCUAUCUAGGCUUCAAAUGAGGAUUCCCCAUCAUUUUUCUUGAAUCUUGCAAUAAGAUUUAUCAUAUG